GGAUUGAGAAGGUACUGUGCACUUCAGGCCACCCUUGCCCUCUGUGACUUUUUGCUCUCAAGCUAUGCUGUGGUUGAGCUUUGUCACUGUCCCCAGACCUUCUGGACAAGACCUGAGUGAGAACAUAGCAAAGAUGAACUUAAUGAAAUCAAUCCAUCUGAAACCAUGGAAAAUUUCUUCACUGAAGAGAGUAUGCAUGGUUCACAUUGCCAUUGCCAAUUCCCAUUGUUGAUAGGAGUCUGGGUCUGGUGUUCCUCAUAUGAUUUGGAAUGUCCACAUAUGUCCAGGAUGGAGCAUUUGUGACAAAUCAAGAGAUGCAGAUAUCCCAGUGCAGGCAGAGGGUACAGAGGACCUCAAACAGGACAAGGCAC